rnacentral:rRNA from 1 species
CUACGGGCUGCUGCAGUGGGGAAUAUUGCACAAUGGGCGCAAGCCUGAUGCAGCCAUGCCGCGUGUAUGAAGAAGGCCUUCGGGUUGUAAAGUACUUUCAGCGGGGAGGAAGGGAGUAAAGUUAAUACCUUUGCUCAUUGACGUUACCCGCAGAAGAAGCACCGGCUAACUCCGUGCCAGCAGCCGCGGUAAUACGGAGGAUGCAAGCGUUAAUCGGAAUUACUGGGCGUAAAGCGCACGCAGGCGGUUUGUUAAGUCAGAUGUGAAAUCCCCGGGCUCAACCUGGGAACUGCAUCUGAUACUGGGAAGCUUGAGGCUCGUAGAGGGGGGUAGAAUUCCAGGUGUAGCGGUGAAAUGCGUAGAGAUCUGGAGGAAUACCGGUGGCGAAGGCGGCCCCCUGGACGAAGACUGACGCUCAGGUGCGAAAGCGUGGGGAGCAAACAGGAUUAGAUACCCGAGUAGUC